rnacentral:rRNA from 1 species
UAGGGAAUUUUCGUCAAUGGGGGGAACCCUGAACGAGCAAUGCCGCGUGUGUGAAGAAGGUCUUCGGAUCGUAAAGCACUGUUGUAAGUGAAGAAUGCCAUAUAGAGGAAAUGCUAUGUGGGUGACGGUAGCUUACCAGAAAGCCACGGCUAACUACGUGCC